CUCUAGUCUGGGUACCAGUCUGUUUAGAUAACAUUCCUCUAGUCUGGGUACCAGUUCUCUAGUCUGGAUAACAUUCCUCUAGUCUGGGUACCAGUUCUCUAGUCUGGGUAACAUUCCUCUAGUCUGGGUACCAGUCCUCUAGUCUGGGUACCAGUCCUCUAGUCUGGGUACCAGUCUGUUUAGAUAACAUUCCUCUAGUCUGGGUACCAGUCCUCUAGUCUGUGUACCAGUCCUCUAGUCUGGGUACCAGUCCUCUAGUCUGGGUACCAGUCCUCUAGUCUGGGUACCAGUCCUCUAGUCUGGGUACCAGUCUGUUUAUUUAUUUUUUGUUGUCUUCUGCCAAAGACUUUGGAAAAGGAAAUGUGUGACAGUGUUGUUAGGUGUCACGGUCUGUUAACUUCAGCACGAAUAAAUAAAAACAGCGUUGAAUUAAUGUCUGAUAAGUGUUGGUACAAUGUGACAUCAGUGGUAGGAACAGUGGUGGGAACAAACAGUGGAACAGUGGUGGGAACAGUGGAACAGUGGUGGGAACAGUGGUGGGAACAGUGGAACAGUGGUGGGAACAGUGGAACAGUGGUGAGAACAGUGGAACAGUGGUGGGAACAGUGGAACAGUGGUGGGAACAGUGGA
rnacentral:lncRNA from 1 species